GACGAACGCUGGCGGCGUGCUUAACACAUGCAAGUCGAACGGAAAGGCCCUGCUUGCAGGGUACUCGAGUGGCGAACGGGUGAGUAACACGUGGGUGAUCUGCCCUGCACUUCGGGAUAAGCCUGGGAAACUGGGUCUAAUACCGGAUAGGAGCCAUUUUUAGUGUGAUGGUUGGAAAGUUUUUUCGGUGUAGGAUGAGCUCGCGGCCUAUCAGCUUGUUGGUGGGGUAAUGGCCUACCAAGGCGGCGACGGGUAGCCGGCCUGAGAGGGUGGACGGCCACAUUGGGACUGAGAUACGGCCCAGACUCCUACGGGAGGCAGAAGUGGGGAAUAUUGCACAAUGGGCGCAAGCCUGAUGCAGCGACGCCGCGUGGGGGAUGACGGCCUUCGGGUUGUAAACUCCUUUCGCUAGGGACGAAGCUUUUUGUGACGGUACCUAGAGAAGAAGCACCGGCUAACUACGUG
rnacentral:rRNA from 1 species